rnacentral:misc_RNA from 1 species
AUCGCCAAAAAGAUUAAAGCUACAAUUACAUCUUUGAAGUUAAACUCUCUGCAAAUCUAACUAGGUGAAAAGAGAAAAAUGGUAGCUAAAUUGCCAGAGAAAGAGCAUCCCAAACAGUCAUUCGGAUGGGCAGCAAGAGACCAAUCUGGCGUUCUCUCUCCCUUCAAAUUCUCCAGGAGGGCAACGGGAGAGAAAGACGUUUCUUUUAAAGUCCUGUAUUGUGGGAUGUGUCACUCGGACAUUCACAUGGUCAAGAAUGAAUGGGGCUCUUCUACUUACCCUCUCGUCCCUGGGCAUGAGAUUGUGGGAGUGGUGACAGAGGUGGGGAGCAAGGUAGAAAAAUUCAAGGUGGGAGAUAAAGUGGGUGUAGGCUGCAUGGUUGGAUCAUGCCACUCCUGCGAUAACUGCACAAACAAUCUUGAAAAUUACUGCCCACAAAUGAUACUUACUUAUGGUGCCAAGUACUACGAUGGAACCACCACUUAUGGCGGCUAUUCCGACAACAUGGUUGCCGAUGAGCACUUCAUUGUUCGUAUACCAGAUAACCUGCCUCUUGAUGCUACUGCUCCUCUCCUUUGUGCUGGAAUCACGGUGUACAGCCCCUUAAAAUAUUAUGGACUUGACAAGCCCGGCAUGCAUGUGGGCGUAGUUGGCCUCGGUGGGCUAGGUCAUAUGGCAGUGAAAUUUGCCAAGGGUAUGGGGGUUAAGGUGACUGUGAUUAGCACCUCACCUAGCAAGAAACAGGAGGCUGUUGAACAUCUUGGUGCUGAUUCAUUUUUGGUUAGCCGUGACCAAGAUCAAAUGAAGGCUACAAUGGGCACAAUGGAUGGUAUAAUUGACACAGUGUCUGCAAUGCACCCUCUUUUGCCUUUGCUUGGUUUAUUGAAGUCGCAUGGAAAGUUGAUUUUGGUUGGUGCCCCAGAGAAGCCACUUGAGCUACCAGCCUUUCCUUUGCUAAUGGGGAGGAAGAUGGUGGGUGGUAGUUGCAUUGGGGGAAUGAAAGAGACACAAGAAAUGGUUGAUUUCGCAGCCAAACACGGCAUAACAUCGGACAUUGAAGUUAUCCCAAUUGACUAUGUGAACACUGCUAUUGAACGCAUGCUGAAAGCUGAUGUUAGGUACCGAUUUGUGAUUGAUAUUGGCAACACAAUCAAAUCAAGCCAUUGAAUAAGUUAAUUGAAUUUUCUUAGCCAAUUGUUGAACUUAUGUUGAGGAUUUUGUACUCCAUAUAUGCCCUCAUCAUGAGGAGCGAUGUGUAAUAAAUUGAAUUCCAGUGAGUG